UAUUGGACAAUGGGGGCAAGCCUGAUCCAGCAAUACCGCGUGUGUGAAGAAGGCCUUAGGGUUGUAAAGCACUUUCAAUUGGGAGGAAAACCUGCCGGUCAAUACCCGGUAGCUUGACAUUACCUUUAGAAGAAGCACCGGCUAACUCCGUGCCAGCAGCCGCGGUAAUACGGAGGGUGCGAGCGUUAAUCGGAAUUACUGGGCGUAAAGCGUGCGUAGGCGGUUCGUUAAGUCAGAUGUGAAAGCCCUGGGCUCAACCUGGGAACUGCAUUUGAAACUGGCGGACUAGGGUUUAGUAGAGGGGAGUGGAAUUUCAGGUGUAGCGGUGAAAUGCGUAGAUAUCUGAAGGAACACCAGUGGCGAAGGCGACUCCCUGGACUAGAACUGACGCUGUGUACGAAA
rnacentral:rRNA from 1 species